UACAGAGGUCUCAACCGUUGUUCGGAUUCAUUGGGCGUAAAGGGUGCGUAGGCGGUCGCGCAAGUCGGAUGUGAAAUCUCACAGCUUAACUGUGAAACUGCAUUGGAUACUAUCCGGCUAGAGGAAUGGAGGGGAGACUGGAAUACUUGGUGUAGCAGUGAAAUGCGUAGAUAUCAAGUGGAACACCAGUGGCGAAGGCGAGUCUCUGGACAUUUCCUGACGCUGAGGCACGAAAGCCAGGGGAGCAAACGGG
rnacentral:rRNA from 1 species